CUCGGGAGAUUAGGUAGACAAGUAUAUCUCGAACUCGGUCAGGGUGGAAACACAGCAGCCGUAGAGGCAAUACUUGGGUUGUUUUAAUCUCCCACUGAA
rnacentral:SRP_RNA from 2 species